GUAUUCGCGGGCCGCGGGGUAGCCGGCGGCCGCCCAGGCGCGGAGCCUCUCGGGGGUCACCCGGCCGCUGAGCCCGCGGGCCGCACGACGCCGCCGGGGCAGGACACCGAGCCUCAGGCCCGGUCCCUGCGCCCCGCCCGGCCCCCUCCGGGGCUGCUGCGCAGCCCACUCGGCCAUCCUGGCCUGGAGGGGCCGCCCAGGGGCCUCGCGCCAAAGCCUGCGCCUCCCGGAGCCCUCCGGAGCCUUCUCGGGCUUUCCCCCAGGCGUCCUGGACCUUCUGGUGCCUUUCUGGGCCUUGCUGGGCUUCUUGACUCUCCCGGGGCCCUUUCCGAGGCCUCCCGGCCCUUCCCUGGGCCUCUCCAGCCUGAACGCUCCGCGAGGCGGCCAGUAGGCCUCUGGCACCCAGGCCUGGCCCACCCGCCUCCGCCCCACCGCCUGCGCUCAUCAAGCCAGGAGCACUGCCCCGAUGAGCACGCUGGGUUCCAGACCAAUACCUGGGCCAUUGUGACUCUCAGAAUCCCGGGCAAUAAGAGGUCAGAAAGUCCAUUCCACCUCGGCUUGGAGACAGAGGAAAGCUUGCCGGGAGAACAAUUGCAAGCCCCCCCGCCCUCAUGUUCUCGGUUUGUUCUUCUCUGUGACGCCACCGGCCAUCAUGAGAACAGCCAGCAGCAGAUCCAGCGUGAUAAAAUUUUCACUCCUUGACAAGUGUGAGAAACCGAAAAACUAUGCCCAGCCAGAAGUUUUAUGUCACACCUUUGAGGCGCUGUCUAACCUCCACAAGCUGCUUCCCAAUCACCUGGUGGAGAAGCUUUAUUCCUACAAGAGUGAAGAGGACAAGAAAAAAUGUGAGAAUCCUGAACUCUCUGGCUUAGAAAGAAUCUUAGCAAGACAUCAGUUGCCAGAAGAGAUUAAUCUGACCCCAAAGCCGAACAGAAUGCCCCCGUGGAAAAGAAAAAUCAUCAACAAUGUAAAUGAUGCGUGGAAGAAAUGUCACUUACUGAAGAGAAACACGAAUGAGCCUCCCAUGUCCACCAUAGUUGUCAGUAAUACAAUUCCUUCCAUUUUGCUCCCUUGCUAGAUGGCUGAAAAAGAACAUGCAACCCGCUGAAGACCUCAAGUCAGUGAUCUGUAGGCUGUCAGCAUUUGGCCCAAUUCAGUCAGUCACUGUUUGUGGACGUCAAAGUGCUAUAGUGGCAUUCAAAGACAUGACUUCAGCCUGUAAUGCUGUGAGUGCUUUUCAAAGUAGGAUCCCAGGCAACAUGUUCCAGUGUUCCUGGCAACAACGAUUCAUGUCAAAAGAUAAAACUUAUGCAAAAAAAUGUACCCAGAAGACACAGCCGAAGGAAUAUAAGCAGGAAACUGAGAAAACUGCCAACAGCAGCUAAAGGGACACAAACAGUGUCUCCUGAGUAUUUCAGAGUGAUAUGAAAACUGAAUACCUAUUGUGGAAUUUGAUUAGAAUCUGGAACAAUCAGAGUUGGAACAGUGUUCACAACAAAAUGCAAGUUAAUAAGGAAAAAUAAAAUCAGUCAAAUUAGUUAGACUAACGCUUUGAGAAAAAUCUAAAUUCGGUUAAUUUUACUGCAAACCACAUGUAAUCUGCUUAUGGCUGGCAACACUCAAGGAGGAUUCAAAGGCUCUCGGCUUGCUCUGCUUGCCUGACCUCUUGCUUUCUGGGAGCUGACUUACCCUGUCAGAUGCAUACACAACAUCAAAUAGCCCGAGGAUGGUGACAGAGAUGCCGACAGCUGGACCAUUGACCACUGCAAUCAGAGGCUUAGGAAAAUCUAUAAAACAGCCCACAAAUUCCCUAUAGAAAUGGAAACACAAAAUCAUUAAAUGUGCCAAAGCAGCAUGACUGAAGCAUGGGCAAGGCAGUCUGACUCUGAGAUAACAAAGGUUUCUGGCCGGCUGGGUAUUUCCACAGCCACCACGGGCAGUGCCUCCCUGACCGGCCACUUCCCUGGUCUUCCACACCAGAUUCAUCCAGGACAUCCAUUUGAAUGGCGGUGGAUGAAAAACCAAGCAGUGAGACCUACGGGUCAACCCUGGAUCAAAUCUUGUAUUCCGGGCAGUGAGUUCGGGCCGGAAACCAGCAGCAGUCCUGGAGAUUAGGGUGGGCGACUGAGCACACACUGGAAUAUUACAGCAAGUGGGAAUUACAGAUGUGGCAGGAAUAAAGCCUUCAUGACCUCCUCCCGUGUUUUAUAAGUUUCCUCCAAGUCUCCUACUUUCAGCAUUCAUGGAAAUCGUCUAUUCCUCUGGCUGGAUGAGAAUUUGCUAAAUUCCUCUGUCUCAAAGCAGGAUAAUUUUGUUUACAACUACAGCUAACUUUUAUGUUUUCUAGUCAAAUCUCAUGAGAUCAGCAGGAUGAAAAGGUAACAGAGGUCAAAGAGAGAGAAUGAAUGCCCACCUAUGGAUGCAGGCAGCUUGGAGAAAUAUGCUUGUCCAAAGUCACAAUUGAUUGGAUCAACACAGAGAAAUAGAUGUUUCACUUCUGCUCAACUAAAUUCCACGUUGAUGACUAAGAACAGGCCCUCUGCGAUCAGACAAAAGAAAGUCACAGUGCCUUUUGGGUAUAUCAGAACCUACCUGAAGUUCACGAACUAUAAACAAUGAAUAACUCAACUCUGUUGUAUGAAGUAGCCACAGUUACCAACCUUCCUGCAGAAAUCAAACAAGUGAUACAAUAAAAUAGGAAUGAUGCUGAAACUCUACAGCUUUUGCAUGAAACACAUAGAAGAAGGAAAGAAAAACAGGACAAACUCCAAGGGCAGGCUCCACCUGACUAGAGGAUUCCAAUGAAGAACUCAAACUGGACACCAAAUCCACAUAGUUCUGCCGAGCAGUUUCCUGACAGGAAGAUGACAAAUCAGCCUUAGCCCAUGGUCAACGAAUAAGCGCUUUGAGAAAGUUACUAUACUAAUAAAUAGCACCUUGCAAUGAAGAAUAGAAGCACAUCAAGACCUCGAAGCCUCCAUUUAUAACGGCUUAAUGAGAAGCACCAAACUUCUUUAGAAAUACAGCAAAUAAAAGUAGAGUAACUAGUAAAUUCA